AUGAAGCGCGGCCACGGCGCGUGCGCGGCGCUGCUGAACCCGUCGGCGGCGGAGCACAUGGUGUGGCCAUCGCCGCUCAAGUUCAUCGGCGAGCUGCGGGCGGACACGAGGGCGUUCCUGGAGGCGGCAAGAGGCGGCUUUACCGAGGCCAACAGGGAGCGGGAGAAGAAGAUCCUGGGCAGCAAGUACUCGGACUCCUCGCCGAUACAAGGUCAGAGGCGUGCAGCUCGUGCUCUGCUGCCACAGCAAGCCCAACCCGAUACGAGAAGCCGGCGUCAUCACGGCUGUGCCGGAGGCGGUCGCGGAGGUCACGCGAGGGGAGCAGCAGUCUCGUCGGCCGGUUGCCGCAUCGAGCAGCAGCGAGGUGAGCCGGCCGCGCCCGCGGGAUCCGGCCGGAGAGGCGAGCUCGGGUGGCAAGGAGGAAGGCGACGGGGCUGCGGGUGGACGGCACGCCGCCACCCAGGAAGCAGAGGAGCGGCACUAGGAUCUAGGCGGCGUCCGGGGCGUCCUCGACGGCGCGGCCGUCGUCUACUUCAACUACAUCGGCGACGACUCCGCAUCCACCAUGGCCGAGAAGAUCUGGGACCCCGCCUGCGCGCUGCCCGUCGGCAUCGCCGGCUCCGUGCUCAACGUCUCCACUGCUCGUAG
rnacentral:rRNA from 1 species